rnacentral:lncRNA from 1 species
UGCUAGUUAGCUGUGGGACUGUGUGAUUAUAGACAAGAUACUACCUAGUUAGCUGUUUGUUUAGCAAUACCUUAUUGACACUUUGCUGCAAAGUAUUUUGCUUCAGGCUCUCAUGUCCCCUGUCUGGCCAGACUGGAAGUUUCUGAAGUCAGCUCUUCUCCAUCCACCACAAAUGCAUUUUGUUGAACCAACAUGACUUUAUUAUAUUAUUUUAAAGCUAUUAUUUUAUGUAAAAUAUAGUAUAACUAUUACAGGAGAGCUUUGGCAUACUUCAUAUGAAGAUUGUAUUUUUGCAAGCUGAUCUAUUAUUUACGUAAAACAUUUUGUAUAUCCCUAAACUGCCUAGUACUUUACAUAAACAUUUGCAGAAAGUUUUAGAAACUUUUCACACAGUUUGGAAUCAAUCAGUAAUUCCUGGUAUCCAGGAUCAAGUUUUCACAUUUUUCCAAGUUUUCCAGCUUAUAGAGUUAUCAAACCCCUGAAGGAGUGUGUAAUUGGGAAAAACACCAAUAUGCAGACCAUGAGGGGGACUUGUGCUCUAUCUAUCUUUGCCUUAUACUUGCAAAUUAAAGUAUGAUUGUCACUCAAAAUGUUAAUGAACAUGAAAUAAAUAAAUAGAAAUUUAAAUUUUAAAAAGUUUUAAGUGUGCUUUGUUUGUGUCAUUUUUAUAAACUAACUAAUCUCCGGACAUUAGCUGGGAAAGGGCGAAUGCAUAGGCCUAUUAGUCAAAUAGAAACGUUAGUAAAGACCCUCUGAAAAUAAAAGAAAGUUUAAGACCUUAAGGGAAAAAGAUCUGCGUUUUAAAACUGGAAGACAGGAUAAGCAGAAAUCCAGCUUGUUUGGUGGGAGGAAGUGGAAGCUGCCCAUUUCAGAACCGGAAGAACCUUCAUUAGGAUAUUUUGGUACAGUGAGUGGAAGAGUCAGUGUUCAGGACUUCAAUCAUGGUUCUGGAAAACCGGAAUGUCUCCGCUACAGAUGGAAGGUUCUGGUACCAGCUUGGCAAACUAAAGUAAAGGAGAAAAGAAAGGAGGACAUGGACAGUAAAGAGGACAGCCAGCAACAAUGGGAUUCUGCCUACCACCUCUUUACCACUCGCCAUGAGCGCUCCCAUCACUACAGAGUAGGCCACAAUACUGCCGGGCAGAAAAACAUACUGAGUUGCCGCCAUUCUUUCGAAUUGGUCAGUUCUUCGCGCCUGACACUCUGGCUGAAACUCCUAUUUUUUAGAAAGGUAAACAGGAGGAACUACAGUUUGUAUGUUUUGAAAUGGUCUUAUUUUUUUUUUUACACUUU